AUUUGCAUUCGAUCUCUAAAAUAAGUCAUUAAGUACAUAUAUGCAAAUGCAGCUCUUUCAAAUCUGAAAAAUAUCCAAAAUCCAAAACACUUCUGGUCCCAAGCAUUUUGGAUAAACGACAAUCAACUUGUAUCUAAUAUGUUUACAAACAUUUUUUAUCUUUCUAUUGUUUUAAUUGUUUGUAUUUGUUCAUUGCCUCAGGAAUUCUUGUGAGCUGGGAAAUGAUACAAGAAUACUACAGAUGAAUAAAGCAAUCACCAACAUUAUAUAAAAGUAUCCUGAAGGAGAUUGAUUUAAAGAUAAAAUAUGGGAGGGAAUGAAAGAGAACUUGUUCUAGAAUUUCUAGAACUCUUGGCUUCUAUGAAGAUACAAUGGAAUCAUCCCAAGGGAAUCAUUCUCACUGGCCCAUGAUGGAAACUUGAUUAUGAAGAAAUGAUCACAGGUCUACACCCUUAAUGUGUAUACCAUCGUUAUGCUUAAGAGAACCUUCAAUUUUUGAAUAGAAUGCAAGAAAAGGGAAAAAAAUCCCUUAUCUUAAAAUGUGGCUAGAAGAAACUGUAAACCCGGAAUAAGGUUUGGCUGAAUAAAAACCUUAUACAAUUGCACAUACAUUGUUGUUCUAUGAAUAAAAAACUGCCAAAGCAA